ensembl:snRNA U6 U6 spliceosomal RNA
AUGCUCGCUUAGACAACACAUAUACUAAAGUUGGAACAGUACAGAGAAGAUGAACACAGUCCCUGUGCAAAAAUGACAUGCAAAUUUCUGAAGCUUUCCAUAUUUUA